rnacentral:tRNA from 1 species
CUGUUAGGGGAUACUACAAUGGAAGUAGGAAGAAUUUUGGAUUCUUUUGUGCAGGUUCAACCCCUGCUCCUCUAG